rnacentral:rRNA from 1 species
UAGGUGGCGAGCGUUGUCCGGAAUGACUGGGCGUAAAGGGAGCGUAGGUUGCGAUUUAAGUUAGAUGUGAAAGCCCAGGGCUCAACCCUGGAAUUGCAUUUAAAACUGGAUUGCUAGAGUACAGGAGGGGUAAGCGGAAUUUCUAGUGUAGCGGUGAAAUGCGUAGAUAUUAGGAAGAACACCAGAGGCGAAGGCGGCUUACUGGACUGCAACUGACACUGAGGCUCGAAAGCGUGGGGAGCAAA